rnacentral:rRNA from 1 species
UACAGAGGGGGCAAGCGUUGUUCGGAAUUACUGGGCGUAAAGGGCGCGUAGGCGGCCUGCUAAGUCGAACGUGAAAUCCCCGGGCUCAACCCGGGAACUGCGUCCGAUACUGGCAGGCUUGAAUCCGGGAGAGGGAUGUGGAAUUCCAGGUGUAGCGGUGAAAUGCGUAGAUAUCUGGAGGAACACCGGUGGCGAAGGCGGCAUCCUGGACCAACACUGACGCUGAGGAGUGAAAGCCAGGGGAGCAAACGGG